GACGGAGGGGGCAAGCGUUGUCCGGACUUACUGGGCGUAAAGCGCGUGUAGGUGGUCGGUUGCGUCGGCGCUGAAACCGCUGGGCUUAACCCAGCGACGCGUGCCGAUACGAGCCGACUGGAGGCAGGCAGAGGGUGGCGGAAUUCCGGGUGUAGUGGUGAAAUGCGUAGAGAUCCGGAGGAACGCCUGAGGCGCAAGCGGCCACCUGGGCCUGACCUGACACUGAGACGCGACAGCGGGGGGAGCGAACCGGAUUAGAUACCCGGGUAGUCCACGCCGUAAACGAUGCCAGCUCGGUGUCUGGGACCCGUCUAGGGGCCUGGGUGCCUCAGCUCACGCGGUAAGCUGGCCGCCUGGGGACUACGAGCGCAAGCUUAAA
rnacentral:rRNA from 1 species